rnacentral:rRNA from 1 species
AGUGAACGCUGGCGGUAGGCCUAACACAUGCGAGUCGAACGGCAGCACAGUAAGAGCUUGCUCUUACGGGUGGCGAGUGGCGGACGGGUGAGGAAUACAUCGGAAUCUACUUUUUCGUGGGGGAUAACGUAGGGAAACUUACGCUAAUACCGCAUACGACCUACGGGUGAAAGCAGGGGAUCUUCGGACCUUGCGCGAUUGAAUGAGCCGAUGUCGGGUUAGCUAGUUGGCGGGGUAAAGGCCCACCAAGGCGACGAUCCGUAGCUGGUCUGAGAGGAUGAUCAGCCACCCUGGAACUGAGACACGGUCCAGACUCCUGCGGGAGGCAGCAGUGGGGAAUAUUGGACAAUGGGCGCAAGCCUGAUCCAGCCAUACCGCGUGGGUGAAGAAGGCCUUCGGGUUGUAAAGCCCUUUUGUUGGGAAAGAAAAGCAGCAGGUUAAUACCCCGCUGUUCUGACGGUACCCAAAGAAUAAGCACCGGCUAACUUCGUG